AGCUCCAAUAGCGUAUAUUAAUGUUGUUGCAGUUAAAAAGCUCGUAGUUGGAUUUCUGUCGGAAGCGUCCGGUCCUCCCCUCACGGGGUGCGCACUGGCGACGUCUUUUGACAUCCUUGCGAAGAGCGUGCCUGGCAUUAAGUUGUUGGGUAUCGGGACUCGCAUCGUUUACUGUGAAAAAAUUAGAGUGUUUAAAGCAGGCAAUUGCUGUGAAUACAUUAGCAUGGAAUAAUAAGAUAGGACUUUGGUGUUAUUUUGUUGGUUUGUAUACCGAGGUAAUGAUUAACAGGGACAGUUGGGGGUAUUCGUAUUUCGUUGUCAGAGGUGAAAUUCUUGGAUUUAUGAAAGACGAACUACUGCGAAAGCAUUUACCAAGGAUGUUUUCA
rnacentral:rRNA from 1 species